ACCCGACUCCAAUGCUCGGUCCCGGCUCCCGCUCCCUCGCCGGACGCCUCACGCCGCACCCUGGGCCCCCCCACCCAGGCUGGAGCCUGUCCAGCUCUGGAUCCCCCAGGACGUUCUGCCCAGCACCUCGGGUCCCAGGCUGCACCUUCCUGGGGACCCUUACCCAGCCGAACUGAUGAUGGAGACUCGGCUGCUGUAUAGAUCGUGGAGUGGGAGAGCUGACUGCCAAGCUGCCUGUCUCCAUGCAAAAUGAAGAAGGGCUAGGCGGACCGAGGAAUCGGCCCUUUGGAUGGGCACCACUCUGGGACACGAAGACUCCUUCCUUGCUGUGUUAUCAUCUUCUAGAGAUUGAAAUCCUCUCUUCCCUGAGACUGAAAGUUGUUCAGGAUGGGAAGGACCCGGGACAAGAUUCAAAGAGGGAGCUGAUACACCAUCCUCAGAUCUAGACAAAUAAACAUAUCUUUUUUUUUGGUA